AGAGGCUUUAAAAAACACCAGUGCCUGGGAGUUCCUGUUGUGGUGCAGAGGAAAUGAAUCCAACCAGGAACCAUGAGGUUGUGGGUUUGAUCCCUGGUCUUGCUCAGUGGGUUGGGGAUCCGGAAUUGCUGAGGCUGUGGCAUGGGCUGGCAGCCAUAGCUCCAAUUUGGCCCCAAGCUUGGGGGCCUCCAUAUGCCACAUGUGCAGCCCUAAAAAGCAAAAAAAUAAAAAUAAAAAAAAAAACAAUGCCUGUGUACUACCAAUAAAAAAUUUAAUUUAAUUUAUAUGGAAUGCAGCCUGGUAGCUGAUUGCUUUAAAACCUUCCCAGAUGAUUUUAAUGUGCAAGCAGUUUCUAGCUUCUGGGCAGAUCCUGAAUGAGAAAUAGCAAACUCUAAUCUGAUUAGUUUUCCUUGAUGUUUGAGCUGUCUACUUACUUUCUUGUCUAAUUUCUCUAGAAAUUUGAGGAUAAAGGGAGAAGUCCUAGAAUUUCAUUGAACUCAAUAUUUUCCCUCAUAAUCAUUCCUAGGAAGAAGGUAUGGGAGUAUGAUCCAGUCUUGGCAGAAGCUUUUCAAUGUUGCUCUCCUUUACUAUGCUUUCCAUUUGCUUGUAAUUUGUCGGUUUGCUUUUGCAACCUUUAAUUAUUUAUUUAUUUUGCCCAAUAUUGGAGGGUAAAGAUUCUAUGAAUUAACUUUAUCCUAUCACUUUUACCUGGAAGUCUUUACAGUUUUUAUUACAUUAUGUUAUUUUCUCUAAUGCUCAUAAUAGUCCUGUGAAGUAGCUGUUGCAACAACAAUUAAUGCCACUGUUAUUUCUAUUUAUACAUUUCCUCAUUUUACAGAUUCCUAGCUUUCCUCCUUUGAAAAAGGAAGACAGUAAUGGUGCCCACCUCAUAUGUUGCCUUGAAGAUUAAAUGAAAGCAUAUAUACCCCAUCAACAAAGACAUGGACCAGCAGCAGCUCCAGGAAGUCCCCUUCUCCCAAGAAACCCUUCCUAAUUGGAUCGAGGCAGGGUCAAGUUGGCAAAGGAAUAAGAUGUGUUGCUAACCGUUUCCUACAAACACAUAAAAAAAUCUACAUAUAGAACAAUUCAUGCAGAACAUCUACUGAACACUAACAGAAGAACUUAAAUCUCCAAAAGGGGCAAGAAACCCUCCAUAUAACUGGCUAGAACAAAAAGAAAAAAAA
rnacentral:lncRNA from 1 species